GACAGUGUGGCACAGUGGUUUGAGUGUUGGACUAUGACUCUACAGACAAAGUUUCGAUUCCCAGCUUGGCCA